rnacentral:rRNA from 1 species
UACAGGGGGUGCAAACGUUGCUCGGAAUCAUUGGGCGUAAAGCGCACGUAGGCGGUCUGUUAUGUCGGAUGUGAAAGCCCUUGGCUCAACUGAGGAAGUGCAUCCGAAACUGGCAGGCUAGAGUACUAAAGAGGGUCGCGGAAUUCCCGGUGUAGAGGUGAAAUUCGUAGAUAUCGGGAGGAACACCGGUGGCGAAGGCGGCGACCUGGGUAGAUACUGACGCUGAGGUGCGAAAGCGUGGGGAGCAAACAGGG